rnacentral:lncRNA from 10 species
AAUCAAGAUAAAUAUACAGCUCAUGCAGAUGAAAAACAUAUUUCUACAUGGAUUAGCUAGUACUUGAAAAAAAAGUGAAGUUUGGCAUAUAAAUUUUACAUGAUUGUCUAAAUUUUCUAUUGUUCUCCAAAGCAGCCUUGACUCAACCAAACCAAAGCAAAGCAAACCAAACCAAACAAAAUAAAGCUGCCUAAAAAUUAGGUGAUUGUCUAUGAUGAUCUGCCUCAAAGUGAAGUUUCUUUUAUUGUUUCUGAGAAGCAUGUAAUUGUUGGUGGGUUGACUAAUGAGAAAUAAAAGAUUAUUCUCAACUCCAAAUUUAACUACAUUGUCAUAUAUGUGAAAGGCACAACUUUAUGAAAUCACUGGGUUUUAAUAGAAAGAAGUAUUUCGAGAUGGUGGAAAAUUUCCCUAGGAAAUUUUAAUUCUUUCUCACUUACUGUUUUAAAGUGCUGGAUUCAUGAAAGAGAAAAGAAUGCUCUUUGAAAUCUUAUUAGUCUUACUGUGGUAGUCUCCUGGGAAGUAACUGUGAUAAUUCUAUCAGGAGUGGUGCAGAAAAAUGGCCUGUGCUACUUCGCAGUUGGAAAAAACCAACGUCAUGCUCUCUGGCAUUAUACAGGAUCACAAGAAAAGUAAUGGUCGUCUAACUUCUACGUAAAAAUAACAUCAGUAACUGUAAGUUUGCUUAGGCAUUUGUGAGCAAUGAGUAGUGAUUAUGACCUAAAAUAAACUUCUGUUUUGGUCAUUUACCCAACACAGAAUUGACCUUACUUAACAGACUUACCUUACUUACCAGAUUUUUAUUAUUGGCUACUGGACAGCUACAUGAAGAUAAUUCUUUGUCUGCUCACACUCAAUAAAUUCAAAAACUUAUUCGUCUGUCUCCUUUGCUUUUCUACAAACUCUAAACACUCUCUCUCUCUCUCUCUCUCUCUCUCAGUUCCACCUCUUCACUUUAGUGUUUCUGUUCACAUCACCAUUUUUGAGGUCACCAAGUUCAAAACCUUUGUAUUAUUUUGGACCAAUCGUGUUUUCCUGCUCAUUUGGAAAUUUUAUGUUUUCAGAUGAUGGAAAGAAAAAGAGAAAGAAAAGAAAAGUAAGGAUGAAAACAACUGGAAGGCAAAUGUGUAGGACUAUUUCCCUUCCUCACAAAAUAUCAAUCAGAAUUUGUUAAUGGUAGAAAUAAAAAGUGUCACUAUCUUCUAUGAUUUUCUGUCCUUUCUCUUUUCUUUGUCCCAACUUUUUGUAUAACCUGAAGUUUGGUCUAAAUGAACCAGUAUUUUCUUAGCCCUGAGCAUUUAAGCUUCAGCAUAAUUGACUCUUGGUUUUACUAGCUGUAAGUGUAUGAUGCCAAAUUAUCUGGCUGUUAAAAUUUCUAAAUCAGUUGUUGUAGUUUGGAUACUUGAUCCUGCAAACCUUAUGUUGAAAUCUGAUCCCCGGUGUUAGAGGUGGGGCUUAAUGGGAGGUGUUUAAGGGGGGAAGAUCUCUUGGGAAUUGAUUAAUGCCCUUGGUGUGAGUGAGUUCUCUCUCUGUUAGUUCCCAUGAGAGCUGGUAAAACAGCCUGGCAGCACCCUCUUUUAUUUUCCUGUCUCGCCAUCUGAUCUCUGCACACACUGGCUCCCCUUUUCCUUCUGCUAUUAGUGGAGGUAGCUUGAGGCCCUCACCAGAAGCAGAUGUUGGCACUGUGCUUGUAUAGCCUUUAGAAACCAAAUAAACCUCUUUUCUUUAUGAAUUACCCAGCCUCAGGUAACUUUUGUAAGCAACACAAAUGGAAAAGAAAUGAGUCAAAAAUCCAGUCAUUCAGAGGAAUUAAUGCAAUUGGCCAUAUGUCAUGAAGACAUCAUCAGUAAAUGGCAAUCCUGAUGCGUACAGGAGUCAACAUAGGUUCAGGGGCAAUGCAGCAUCUCUGCCUUCUUCUGGGUAUUCCUCUUAAAUGGCUUGACAAUAACCACCAACCAGCACUGCCAUACAUGUGUCCUGUACCUAUCAGAGGCACUAGGGCAGUUUUGGAACAGAGAGCCCAUAGAAAGGCUACUGCUUAGAGAUAGCCAUUUUCUUCUUGGAGCUGGACCAGUGAAUUAGACGCAUGGAGGAGAGCUGGAAAAUCCCUUUUUGGAAGAGCUACACAAAACCAAAAUUUGGAAUUCGUAGCUAAUAACCAUAAAAAUUAAGAAAUGACUGUUGGAAGAGCACUGGAAAUCACCUGAUUAAGUUAAGAAAAACUAACUAGCUCAUGAGAAAAUUAUUUUCAGGCCAGCUGUAGCCUGUACCCUUUUGAAAAUCCCCUGACUAGUGAGUUCAUUUUUGUUGGAAUAUAGAAUUUUUCUUUUCUAAGCAGAUGUAAACUUGUCUUUCUGUGGUUGGCUUUGGAGCCCACAAGAUAAUUAAAUGGCAGUGCUAACUGAAAGCCUGGGCUGUGCUUAUAGGUUCAAGAGGCAGGUAGAAGACACUGGGUUGGGGAAGUAGGGCUAUGGAACUGUGGCUCUGGCUAAGAUUACUAAUGUCUGUGAGCGCUGGAAGAAGGGAAAUAGAAAUGAAAAAACAUGAAUAUGGUUGAUGGGCCAGACUGAGUGUUGAGGUCCUAUGAUGUAUCAAAGAAUGGCUUACAUGAAAGUUAUAAGGUGUGGAUGGAAAAGGUCAGUGUGGAAGAGAACAGAAUUACUAGCUUUAAAGCUCAGAGACAUCUGCUUUUCAGGAAAAAAAAAUACAAAAGUCUAUGAGUGAAGGAAGGAGACUAAGAGAAAGAAAGGUGAGGAAAAGAGGAAGAGAAUAAAAAGGAACAGAAAUGAGAAAAAUAUGACACAAGAAAAAAAGAAAAAUUAGGAGGAAGGAAAGAAGAAAGGAAGGCAGAGAGGGAGGAAAGGAAGGAAGGAGACAGGGAGGAGAAACAGAAAAAGAGAGAAUGAAAGAAGUGGAAAUCAAGAAAGAAACAACAUAAGAUUCUACAGAGAGGACUCAUUAUAGGCAAAAUAAGUAAAAGAAAUUUCUUUUGGCAUUGUCCUAUCUCCCUUGCAUUCUCAUCUACUAAGCCUUUUCUUCCCUGUGGGCAAUAUUAUUGGCAUGAGUAAACUCUCACCUUAAUAUUCCUAAUAACCAUAAGUUUGUCCUCUACUCCCUAAAACUACUGCCGUGUGUGCCAUGCUCCAAAGUAAUCUCUUAUUCUCACUUCGUAACCUUUCAUCUCAGCUGUGUGUCAGUUAAGAAGAAUUUCAUCAAACUAAGCCUCUUGGAUUUUAAAAGAAUGCUCUUGCCCAGUUAUAUCUUUAGUUGGCAUCAUUUCAGGUAUGAAAAGGCUCUGCUCUAUGUGCCCUUAUCAAUCCUGAAAGAGCUAUCUCCCCAAGCAAAAUGAGAAGGACAAUCAUAACUGGCUCAAGGCUAGUCCAAUCUGGCUCUGUCCUUAGAUCCAAAAAGUUGAAGUUGUAAGUGACCCUAGAAAUGAUCUAUUUCACACUUAUUGUCCAGACAAUGAAACUCCAGUGGAGAGUGGAUAGGACCCUUCUAGGGUCGCAUGAUUGCUAGUGGCAAAGCCAGGUCUGAAUCAUAUCACUGCUUAUGGAGAACUUGUUGCCCUCACCAUUGUCCUCAAAUUUCUCCUGUUGACAGCAGGAUCCCUCAGAGAAAAGAUAGCUCCAGCCAAAGAACUCAGUGUAGCCCCAUGAACUCUCCAAAUAAUCAUAAACACAGCUAUAGUAGACAAGAAAGGCUAUCUUCUCAUGACCCUUUCUGUGGUUAAAAUCCUGAAAAACUGGGCACUACGGCUAUAUUCCAAACAUUCUUGCAAAUAGUAUUUCCAGACACAGACAAUGAUUCUCAGAGAUUCUCACCAUAGACGGUGAGGCAGGCCGUUCCUGAGAUCUUCCCAAAACCAAAGGUAUUGAAGAGACACAUGUAAC